ACGCCUGGAACAGAACUCCAUCAAAUCCAUCCCUGCUGGAGCCUUCACCCAGUACAAGAAACUGAAGCGAAUAGACAUCAGCAAGAAUCAGAUAUCGGACAUUGCUCCAGAUGCCUUCCAGGGUCUGAAAUCACUCACAUCACUGGUGCUCUAUGGGAACAAGAUCACCGAGCUUGCCAAGGGACUAUUUGAUGGGCUGGUGUCCCUACAGCUGCU